GCUGGGUGUGGUGCCUCACACCUGUAAUCCCAGUGAUUAGGGAGGCUGAGGCAGGAGGAUCAAAAGAUUGAGGCCAACUGCUGCAAUUUAGCAAGGCCCUGAGCAACAUGGUGAGACCCUGCCUCAA
rnacentral:sRNA from 1 species